rnacentral:rRNA from 1 species
CUUUGGGAUAACCCCGGGAGACCGGGGCUAAUACCGAAUAUGACCUCCGAUCGCAUGGUUGGUGGUGGAAAGUUUUUCGGCUUGGGAUGGGCUCGCGGCCUAUCAGCUUGUUGGUGGGGUGAUGGCCUACCAAGGCGACGACGGGUAGCCGGCCUGAGAGGGCGACCGGCCACACUGGGACUGAGACACGGCCCAGACUCCUACGGGAGGCAGCAGUGGGGAAUAUUGCACAAUGGGCGGAAGCCUGAUGCAGCGACGCCGCGUGAGGGAUGACGGCCUUCGGGUUGUAAACCUCUUUCAGCAGGGACGAAGCGUAAGUGACGGUACCUGCAGAAGAAGCGCCGGCCAACUACGUGCCAGCAGCCGCGGUAAGACGUAGGGCGCGAGCGUUGUCCGGAUUUAUUGGGCGUAAAGAGCUCGUAGGCGGCUUGUCGCGUCGACCGUGAAAACCUGGGGCUCAACCCCAGGCCUGCGGUCGAUACGGGCAGGCUAGAGUUCGGUAGGGGAGACUGGAAUUCCUGGUGUAGCGGUGAAAUGCGCAGAUAUCAGGAGGAACACCGGUGGCGAAGGCGGGUCUCUGGGCCGAUACUGACGCUGAGGAGCGAAAGCGUGGGGAGCGAACAGGAUUAGAUACCCUGGUAGUCCGCGCUGUAAACGUUGGGCGC